rnacentral:rRNA from 1 species
GAUGAACGCUGGCGGCGUGCUUAACACAUGCAAGUCGAACGGAGUUUACUAGAGUGCUUGCACUCAGGUAAACUUAGUGGCGGACGGGUGAGUAACGCGUGGGUAACCUGCCUUAUACAGGGGGAUAACAGUCGGAAACGACUGCUAAUACCGCAUAAGCGCACAGUAUCGCAUGAUACGGUGUGAAAAACUCCGGUGGUAUAAGAUGGACCCGCGUCCUGAUUAGCUAGUUGGUGAGGUAACGGCUCACCAAGGCGACGAUCAGUAGCCGGCCUGAGAGGGUGAACGGCCACAUUGGGACUGAGACACGGCCCAA